UCGUCGUCGGCAGAGCAAAAGAAAAUUUUCUCUUUUUCGCAUUGAAACAACUUGAAUUAUUUUCAGUACGUAUUGUACUUUGAAGUGAAACGGAAGGUUACUAGCGGAUACAAUUGAAGAAUUGAAGCAAAUCCAAAACUAAUUUCUUUCACACAACAAUAACAACAACAAGAAAGCCAAGCAAUCGCCACAACAACAAGAGCAAAAGUAAAGCUAAAUAAAUUCAAUAGUUCUGUGUUUUUUCGAAGCUACAGCAGCAACAACAAGAAAACAAAAUAUAGUAGUGAAUGUGUUAUGUUGUAUGUAUGUGUGUGUAACAGCAGCAACAGAAACAAGAAGUAAAGUAAAGAAGAAGAAGAAGAAAUAAGAAAAAAAACAAAACAAAAAAUCAACCACCAAAAACAACAACCACGGUAAAAUUUUACAGAGUCGUCGAGUCGAAGUAAAACAAAAAAAAAAUAACAACAAAAACGGCAAAAGAAAAAUUUGUAAUUACAAAUAAACAAGAAGCGCUCGGUGAGAAAAACGUUGUUGUGAAUUUGAUGAAUGUCGUGUGUACAACAAUAGCAGGCUAGAGGCAAAAAAAGCAAACAAACAAACAACAAUAACAGCAAGCAUACCUUGUAAUGGGAAAAUUUCUCGAAUGAAACAAAUCUAAUCGGAAAAUAGAAAAUUUCUAUCGAAAACGCCGUAAAAAGGAAAAACGAAAAGGAACCACUUUUUGACAAUUCUCUGUGGAAAUUAAGAAGAAGAAGAAGCAGUGUAAAAACAGAAUUUCCGUUUUCCUGCCAAGCAACCAACCAACCAACCAACAUCAACGAGAAGAAAAUCCAACAAGAAAAUCUCUCCCCCCGUUUCGCCAAAAAAGAAGAAAAAUAAAGAGCCUAAACAGCUGAUUCAGUUCCAAAGAAAAACAUCAACAACAACAACAACCAAUAUUUACACCACAGACCGCAAGUGGCAAGAAGAAGAGGAAACAUUCAACACAAACCCAACAACAACAACAGGAACCCAAACAACACACAUCCCAAUCGAAGAAAAUCUCAUUCGAAAACGCUCGUUAUCCAAUUGGUAUUUAAUCACGGUUACAUCGUCGUCUCCGGGGAACCCAAUUCGCUUGAUUCGCGUCAUUCUAAGGCUUUAAAAGUUCGCGUCCUUAGA